GCUCAUAACUAGAUUAUAAGUUUAUUUAUUUAAAUACGAGAAAGAUUUCAAAGCUCCAAAUGGCUUUAAGCGGUCAAGUGGACUUUAAAAAAAGUUGUACCCAUAGCCAACGGCAUUCUACUUGUCCUGUGUUUUAGUUUGGUUCCAAAACUGUCGAAAUAUCUCGCAACGCACUGCCUUCGUUGAGUCAGCUGGAAGAGCUAGUAAGCUUUUUGGAAAGCAAACCAUGUUUGAUUAUGAUGGGCCAUGCUCGUACUGCGAAUGCGAGCAUGCAUGCAUGAUCCGUAAACAACAGCCCUAAACAGUGAAGUAGUGGGUGUAUGAAAAUAUUGGAGCAGUGGUGUAAGUACUGGAAGGACAAAAAGGAGCAGUUCAGAGGAAGUCCAGUUCUAUUGCAGCUGCGAGCCAACAUGAAUUUGCCAGAACUCGGUGUAAUCAAGUUAAAAAUACAUUCUAUUAUGCAAGGAGAAUGUUUUGGAAUCUGAAUUUAAAAAUAAAUGCAUAUUCAUUAUAAAAUACAAAAUAAUAAAAAGACAUGAUGAAUUAAAA
rnacentral:lncRNA from 1 species